UACGUAGGGUGCGAGCGUUGUCCGGAAUUAUUGGGCGUAAAGAGCUUGUAGGCGGUUUGUCGCGUCUGCUGUGAAAUCUCAAGGCUCAACCUUGAGCUUGCAGUGGGUACGGGCAGACUAGAGUGCGGUAGGGGAGAAUGGAACUCCUGGUGUAGCGGUGGAAUGCGCAGAUAUCAGGAAGAACACCGAUGGCGAAGGCAGUUCUCUGGGCCGUAACUGACGCUGAGGAGCGAAAGCGUGGGGAGCGAACAGG
rnacentral:rRNA from 1 species